AUAGAACCAUGAGAUCUGGAAUGACUCAUGGNUUCAAAGUUCCGGCGCUUUAGGAUCGGUCUGCGGCCUAUCAGGUAGUAGUGGGUGUAAUGUACCCCCUAGCCUAUUACGGGUAUGGGCCUUGAGAGAGGGAGCCCAGAGUUGGAUUCUGAGACACGAAUCCAGGCCCUACGGGGCGCAGCAGUCGCGAAAACUUCACAAUGGGCGAAAGCCCGAUGAGGGAAUUCCUAGUGCUAGCACUUUUGUGUUAGCUUUUCUUUAGCGUAGAUAACUAGAGGAAUAAGGGCUGGGUAAGACGGGUGCCAGCCGCCGCGGUAAUACCCGCAGCCCGAGUGGUGGUCGAUUUUAUUGAGUCUAAAACGUUCGUAGCCGGUCUGAUAGAUCCUUGGGUAAAUCGGGGGGCUUAACCUUCCGAAUUCCGAGGAGACCGUCAGGCUUGGGAUCGGGAGAGGUAAGAGGUACUUCAGGGGUAGGGGUAAAAUCCUGUAAUCCUUGGAGGACCACCGGUGGCGAAGGCGUCUUACUAGAACGAAUCCGACGGUGAGGGACGAAGCCCUAGGUCGCAAACGGGAUUAGAUACCCCGGUAGUCUAGGGUGUAAACGCUGCAGACUUGGUGUUGGAGGCCCUUCGGGGGCAUUCAGUGCCGGAGAGAAGUUGUUAAGUCUGCUACUUGGGGAGUACGUCCGCAAGGAUGAAACUUAAAGGAAUUGGCGGGGGAGCACCGCAACGGGAGGAGCGUGCGGUUUAAUUGGAUUCAACACCGGAAAACUCACCAAGGGAGACCAUCACAUGAAAGCCAGGGCUAAUGACUUU
rnacentral:rRNA from 1 species